UCUUGAAGGGCUUGCAACACC
rnacentral:misc_RNA from 1 species